rnacentral:lncRNA from 1 species
UUUUGGUCUGUUUUUUAAAUUUGUUAAACUUGAUUAUAUGUUAGAGCCAUAGAAGUUAAUAUCCUAGUCCCCAGUGCUUCUUUUGUGGUCUCUGGCUGUAGUUUCGUCCACAUUUUGUACCUCCCUUUCUUGUUUUAUAUAUUAAAUGUGAAUGUCACGCUCUUGCGUGCUAUUAAAGAUAGAGUAAUGUGAAUAUGGGCCUGGGCUUGGUUCAGGGAAUUCAGAUUCCCGAAAAGUAAGGCUAAAACCCGCUAAUUUUGGACGGAAGAUCAGAAUUUAGAUUCCGGUGAAGGCUAAAAUAAAGGAAUAUGGUUUCCUUUUUUAUAAAAUGGAAACCAGUUUCUAUUUUUGUCCGGACAAAUAUGUCAAGUGCUAGGUAGCACAGACUCGGACACUGACACGGACUCGGACACGGACACGGACUCGGCGACACUUGUAUAUCCCAAAAAUUAGGAUACGGACACGGCUUAGGACGCGUCAAUUAGAUAUAUAUAUAAAAAAUUAUGGUAUAUCAAUAAUAUAUUAGAAAUCAUGUCAUGUAUCAUAUGCAUUCAUAGUUCAUAAAGCAUGAAAGGGAAACGGUUGGAAAGAUAUUACAAUUCGUCUUAAAUUAGGACUUAGGAACAUAUUUGUGUCCAGAACAGUGUCCAAGAAGUGUCCAGAUUGAACGGCACAUGGGACACGCAUGUGCCGUGUCGGACACGUGUCCAAGCCGUGUCCGAAGCAGUGUCCGUGUCCGAGCAGUGUCCGACACUGACACAGUGAAUUUGUAGAAGUGUUCGUGCUUCCUAGGUCAAGUGUUUUGAUCUCUUUAGAAUUCCUUCCAUCUUAAACUCUAUAUCUCCGCCUUUUGAUUGUUUUAUCUUUCUUCUAUUGUUAUCUCUUCCAUUAAUACCCCCUCUUUUCCCGGAAUCUGAAUUCCGUGAACCAAACAUAGCCUAAAAAAAAAAAAAAAAAAAAUUCAGCCGAAAUACUAGCGUUACUGCAGAGGUGACGCUCCAGGCUUACCUCCUCAUCAGAUCUUGCCACGUGUAUCUAUUGAACUUAGUUAAGGUUUUAGCCGGUUUGUACUUUGUAUAGAGAUUUUAGGAGAGAGAAAUAGUAGAGAAAAAAUAGGAAAAAAAAUAAAAAGAAUCCUAAUAAUUAGGACAACCUCAACUUCUUUUCCUUUCAUUGUAUUCUCUUCCCUAGAUUCUUCAUCUACUCUCAAAUCUCAAUCAAAAUUUUACUAGAACAUAAA